rnacentral:rRNA from 1 species
GACAGAGGGUGCGAACGUUGUUCGGAAUUACUGGGCGUAAAGCGCGUGUAGGCUGUCCGGAAAGUCGGGUGUGAAAGCCCUGGGCUCAACCUAGGAAGUGCACUCGAAACUCCCGGACUCGAGUCCCGGAGAGGAAGGCGGAAUUCUCGGUGUAGAGGUGAAAUUCGUAGAUAUCGGGAGGAACACCAGUGGCGAAGGCGGCUUCCUGGCCUGUUCUUGACGCUGAGGCGCGAAAGCUAGGGGAGCAAACGGG